UACGGAGGGGGCAAGCGUUGUCCGGAAUUAUUGGGCGUAAAGCGCGCGCAGGCGGCCUCGUAAGUCUGAUGUGAAAGCCCCCGGCUCAACCGGGGAGGGCCAUGGGAAACUGGGAGGCUUGAGUAUAGGAGAGAAGAGUGGAAUUGCACGGGUAGCGGUGAAAUGCGUAGAGAUGUGGAGGAACACCAGUGGCGAAGGCGACUCUUUGGGCUAUAACUGACGCUGAGGCGCGAAAGCGUGGGGAUCAAACAGG
rnacentral:misc_RNA from 1 species